UUGUUGUGGUUAAAAAGCUCGUAGUUGGAUCUCGGCAAACUGAGGGCGGUUUACUUGNCUAGUUACUACUGCCCUAUAGUUUGUAUUAUUGCUGGAGGUUUAGAGGUGAUCUUAAUCGAUUGUCUCUGGAUGCCAGCAGGUUUACUUUGAAAAAAUUAGAGUGCUCAAAGCAGGCUUAUACGCCUGAAUAUUCGUGCAUGGAAUAAUAGAAUAGGAACUUGUUCUUAUUUUGUUGGUUUUCGAGAAUCAAGUUAAUGAUUAAUAGGGACAGUUGGGGGCAUUUGUAUUCAAGCCAAAGAGGUG
rnacentral:rRNA from 1 species